GACGAACGCUGGCGGCACGCCUAACACAUGCAAGUCGAACGGUGAAGAGGAGCUUGCUCCUUGGAACAGUGGCGGACGGGUGAGUAACACGUGAGCAACCUGCCUUUCAGAGGGGGACAACAGUUGGAAACGACUGCUAAUACCGCAUAAAGUUAGCGGAUGGCAUCAUCUGCUAACCAAAGGAGCAAUCCGCUGAAAGAUGGGCUCGCGUCUGAUUAGAUAGUUGGUGGGGUAACGGCUCACCAAGUCGACGAUCAGUAGCCGGACUGAGAGGUUGAACGGCCACAUUGGGACUGAGACACGGCCCAGACUCCUACGGGAGGCAGCAGUGGGGGAUAUUGGACAAUGGGGAAACCCUGAUCCAGCGAUGCGCGUGAAGGAGAAGGUUUCGGAUUGUAAACUUCUGUGGACAGGACGAGUAAUGACGGUACCUGUUUAGAAAGCUACCGGCUAACUACGUGCCAGGA
rnacentral:rRNA from 1 species